GGAAGAAGGCACCCCAGUGGAACCAAGAAUAGUUAGGGCAUGUGUUGAUAAGAGCCCAGGAACUCUAGUCAGAAAGAAAAAGAAAGUUCAGAAGAAGAAGGAUUAUCAGGAAAAAAGUUGCAGCAAAAGGCUAUUACUAAAUACCGGAGGGUGCGUGAAGCGGAGAGGCGGCUGCCGAGUGUGCAAGCCGGUCACAGCGCAGCAAGGAUUUUCCAAGAGGCGGAGGCGACUGGCCCUUCCCCGCCUCCUGGCCGGGGAGCUGGCUCUUCCACUGCCGCGAGCCCAAAUCUAGACCUGACCUGGAGGCACAGUCUCGCAGGCUCUUGCUCCCUGUGCCCAGUAGCAGUUUGAGUCCGGGACACUCCCCAGGGCCAUCUGGGGCUACCCGGGACGCUACAGCCGCAGAAGACGCUACUGGUGUCCCUGAUGUUUGGUCAUUUUCAAUGCCAAUAACUAAGCUACAAUGUUUCUCCCACACCUGGAAGCUAAUGAGUAAUGAGCACUAUUAAGGCUUAUUUCAAAUGCAAAAAAACCUUGAGAUAAUGUACUAAAUUGUUCAGAAGGUUGUUUUCUUAGUAGAAUGCUACAGGAUUUUCUUUAACAUCAUUGCUGGAGUUCCUGCCUUCGUCCCAGUGCCGGUGGGGACCAAGGUGGAAGAAUUUCCAGUGUUGCUGAAAACUGGACGAAACUUCGGCUGAGAAAUGGAUGAGACUUCGAGACUUCGGAUUAAGCUAGCUGCCUGCAGAACUUACCUGGACUGUGAUUCAAGCUAGCUGCCUGCAGAACUUACCUGGACUGUGAUUUACCUGGACUGUGAGUUAAUCUAUUGAGACACUGCUUUACCUAGACUGAGACAACAAACUGUAAUCUAUAUCUUUGCUAACAAUGUCAUUGCUGGUAUAAUUUUUCCAAGGGCUUCUUGCAUGGAGCCAUCAAUUGGCUUGGUAUUGUGGCAUUUUGUAUCCUCCCUUUCUGUUUGUAGCAGGUAGUUAUUUAAAUUAAACAAAAGGGGGAAUUGUUAGAGUCUGUAAACAAGUCUGGAUGGCGCCUGGCAAAAUGCCAGAGGGAGUGGUUUGAGAAGUAACAAAAGCGAGCCAUUAAGUGUGGAGAUUCCUUAUUGGGUGACUGAUGUAUCUAGUUUAUGCUAAUUAGAUAAGCUGUGUGGAAUGUAUAAAUAUCGCUCUGGUCCUACAAUAAACGGCUCCUACUCCUGCUGUAUCAACGUACACAAGUUGUUCGUCACCCUCCGGUUAUUUUGCUGCAGCCAUACUGCGGCAAAAAGAUGGUGGAAUGAGUAAGACAUCAUUACCGUAAGUACAUGUAAGAAGACACGAAUGUUGUGAAAAUACUUUGUGUAC
rnacentral:lncRNA from 1 species